rnacentral:lncRNA from 1 species
AUGACUGUUUGGAGCAACCAUGCAGUUAGCUGUAUGGCCUCUGCACACAUGCAACCCUCUGGGACACUGCCAGCUACUGCUCCCUGCUCGCUGCGCCCAAUAGACCCUGGCAGCUCCUUGACCCCUGGAUGUUGUGUCUGGGUCACUUCUGCAGAAACUGCAUUCAACCGCAGAACCUGGCCAGGCUGGAAAAGGCUGCAUGAGUCCUUCAGAGUGUGAGCCCAAUCCAAAGCCAGCUGACAUCCGCAGAGCCAGUUCUGUUGGGGGAUGUCGCCCUGGGGGACCUCGAACAGCUCCUUCAAGCACAGUCCCAGGCCAUCUGUAAUUGCUCCAGAAGCAAAACCGCCUCAGAAACCACCGUGAACACAAGUUGCUCUGCAAAUCCAAUGCAGCAGCCCCUGGCUCCCCUCCAGUGCUUCGAUUUGGGGAUUAGACAGUCGCCAUCCCUACUGAUCAGGGUAUCAUGAAUGGCUCUGGGCUCAGUUCUCCUGCACCUGGUCAAAUUUUUUGCAGACACGAGCCAGGAUGACGGGGAGUGCCCAGGGAUGUGGUUCUCUCCCGGUAAUCAGCUCUGAGCCAUUUGAGCCUCUCUCUCCAUUUACCACCAGUCUGUCAAGUCGCAGCGUGGCCGGUUUAUCUCCUGUUUCAUGGAACACAUGGUCACUCCUGGUGCUCCUGCUAACCUUGCCUGUCUUGCUUGCCUCACAGCAGAGACCAGCCAGAUGCUGACCGUGGUCCCGUGACCAGGGAAGCAGCAUGCUUGGCAAAGGACUUCUAGCUAAUGCAGGAGAUGGUUAAGUCUGAUUCCAACUCAGUGGUCAAAAUAAAAUGGAAGGGUUAAUUGCUGAGCAGCUGUGUUUGAACCAGAUUUCUUCAGUACCCUGGAAGCCGAUUGCCUGGGCCUGGGAUAGAAAGGCCAAGAAACACUGGGAUCAUGGGAGAGUGUCGGCGGCUCUUAGGACAUGAGGAUUGGGGGUUUAUGGAGGCACAGAGUCCCUCCUGCAGGUCAGGGUGCCUCGU